CCCUUAGAUGCUCUGGGCCGCACGCGCGCUACACUGGUCGAUGCAACGAGUUUCUUUCCUUGGCCGACAGGCCUGGGCAAUCUUUGAACAUCGAUCGUGAUCGGGAUAGAUUCUUGUAAUUUUUGAUCUUCAACGAGGAAUUCCUAGUAAACGCAAGUCAUCAGCUUGCAUUGAUUACGUCCCUGCCCUUUGUACACACCGCCCGUCGCACCUACCGAUUGAAUGGUCCGGUGAAAUCUCGGGACGGCGGCUUGGUCGCUUGCGUCCGACUGCUGAAACUUGAUUAAACCAUAUCAUUUAGAGGAAGGUGAAGUCGUAACA
rnacentral:rRNA from 1 species